AUUGAACGCUGGCGGCAGGCCUAACACAUGCAAGUCGAACGAGUGGCGGACGGGUGAGUAAUGUCUGGGAAACUGCCUGAUGGAGGGGGAUAACUACUGGAAACGGUAGCUAAUACCGCAUACAAUCGGAUGUGCCCAGAGGGGAUUAGCUAGUAGGUGGGGUAAAGGCUCACCAAGGCGACGCUCCCUAGCUGGAUGAAGAGGAUGACAACCCACACGGGAACUGAGACACGGUCCAUGCUCCUACUGGAGGCAGCAGUGGGGAAUAUUGCACAAUGGGCGCAAGCCGGAUGCAGCCAUGCCGCGUGUAUGAAGAAGGCCUUCGGGUUGUAAAGUACUUUCAGCGGGGAGGCGUUACCCGCAGAAGAAGCACCGGCUAACUCCGUGCCAGCAGCCGCGGUAAUAC
rnacentral:rRNA from 1 species